rnacentral:lncRNA from 1 species
AUUUAGCUUAAACUUCAGAUACUUGACCAUUUCUCACAGUAGCCCCAGGCUGGGUGCGGAGUAAUAUUGUUCAUGCUGGCUUCCUGGCGUGGCAACAUGUCAUAAAGUAUCUGCUGGGAUAUGACAGAGGUAGGCUGGGGGAUGGAAGAUGGAAUAAAGAGGCUCAGACACUUAAGAAAGAUUGCAAGGAGAGGUCAGUGCCCAUCAGAUGAUGGAGUUUUCCCUUUUGAAGAACUCCCAUGAUACGCCCUGAGGCAUAACAGAUGUCUACUAUCACAUUUGACCCUGAAGCCACCUGCCAAACUUCCAGCUGACCCUUGUGUUACCCAAAAUCUCCAGUCUCGCGGUUUUCAGCAGUAAAGCUUACUCACCACCAACAGGUGACCAGAAGUGCUUCUAUCGUGGCAGAAGUGCAUAGCUCACUAAUUAAAGCCUUUUCUACAGCUCCAGUUGCUUUUGUUGCUGCUGCUCUGUUUUUAGUGGAAUACUGAAACACCAGUGGAGCCAGGCACAGGAAAAGUAACGAUGGCUCUCUUGCAAUUACAUCACACCAACAAAGGUUUAUAUUAAACUAGAGAAAUUUAAACUGGAAAAACAAAAAAGUGAGUGGUACUGUUGCACAGCCUUUUAACAGUUCUGAGGCAGAGAAAAUCAAAGCCUUCUCCAUCUCUCAAAUGAUGUUUGGCUGAAUAUAGGAGACGGUUUUAAAACCAUGCCAAUCUGUCAAGCUUUCAGUGCAGAAUACACCCUUACUAGAUCAAUACAUUGGAGUUAUGCAGACACCAAGGAAAAAAUUGUAAUAGGUUAAAUGAAUGCCCUUCACUGUCAUAACAGAGGGAAAUGAGAGCUGAAAG